rnacentral:rRNA from 1 species
CCUACGGGAGGCAGCAGUGAGGAAUAUUGGUCAAUGGGGGAAACCCUGAUGCAGCGACGCCGCGUGAGUGAAGAAGUAAUUCGUUAUGUAAAGCUCUAUCAGCAGGGAAGAAAAUGACGGUACCUGAGUAAGAAGCUCCGGCUAACUACGUGCCAGCAGCCGCGGUAAUACGUAGGGGGCAAGCGUUAUCCGGAUUUACUGGGUGUAAAGGGAGCGUAGACGGCAGUGCAAGUCUGGAGUGAAAGGCGGGGGCUCAACCCCCGGACUGCUCUGGAAACUGUACGGCUGGAGUGCAGGAGAGGUAAGUGGAAUUCCUAGUGUAGCGGUGAAAUGCGGAGAUAUUAGGAGGAACACCAGUGGCGAAGGCGGCUUACUGGACUGUAACUGACGUUGAGGCUCGAAAGCGUGGGGAGCAAACAGGAUUAGAUACCCCUGUAGUC